rnacentral:rRNA from 1 species
GAUGAACGCUGGCGGCGUGCCUAAUACAUGCAAGUCGAGCGAACGGACGAGAAGCUUGCUUCUCUGAUGUUAGCGGCGGACGGGUGAGUAACACGUGGAUAACCUACCUAUAAGACUGGGAUAACUUCGGGAAACCGGAGCUAAUACCGGAUAAUAUUUUGAACCGCAUGGUUCAAAAGUGAAAGACGGUCUUGCUGUCACUUAUAGAUGGAUCCGCGCUGCAUUAGCUAGUUGGUAAGGUAACGGCUUACCAAGGCAACGAUGCAUAGCCGACCUGAGAGGGUGAUCGGCCACACUGGAACUGAGACACGGUCCAGACUCCUACGGGAGGCAGCAGUAGGGAAUCUUCCGCAAUGGGCGAAAGCCUGACGGAGCAACGCCGCGUGAGUGAUGAAGGUCUUCGGAUCGUAAAACUCUGUUAUUAGGGAAGAACAUAUGUGUAAGUAACUGUGCACAUCUUGACGGUACCUAAUCAGAAAGCCACGGCUAACUACGUGCCAGCAGCCGCGGUAAUACGUAGGUGGCAAGCGUUAUCCGGAAUUAUUGGGCGUAAAGCGCGCGUAGGCGGUUUUUUAAGUCUGAUGUGAAAGCCCACGGCUCAACCGUGGAGGGUCAUUGGAAACUGGAAAACUUGAGUGCAGAAGAGGAAAGUGGAAUUCCAUGUGUAGCGGUGAAAUGCGCAGAGAUAUGGAGGAACACCAGUGGCGAAGGCGACUUUCUGGUCUGUAACUGACGCUGAUGUGCGAAAGCGUGGGGAUCAAACAGGAUUAGAUACCCUGGUAGUCCACGCCGUAAACGAUGAGUGCUAAGUGUUAGGGGGUUUCCGCCCCUUAGUGCUGCAGCUAACGCAUUAAGCACUCCGCCUGGGGAGUACGACCGCAAGGUUGAAACUCAAAGGAAUUGGCGGGGACCCGCACAAGCGGUGGAGCAUGUGGUUUAAUUCGAAGCAACGCGAAGAACCUUACCAAAUCUUGACAUCCUUUGACAACUCUAGAGAUAGAGCUUUCCCCUUCGGGGGACAAAGUGACAGGUGGUGCAUGGUUGUCGUCAGCUCGUGUCGUGAGAUGUUGGGUUAAGUCCCGCAACGAGCGCAACCCUUAAGCUUAGUUGCCAUCAUUAAGUUGGGCACUCUAAGUUGACUGCCGGUGACAAACCGGAGGAAGGUGGGGAUGACGUCAAAUCAUCAUGCCCCUUAUGAUUUGGGCUACACACGUGCUACAAUGGACAAUACAAAGGGCAGCGAAACCGCGAGGUCAGGCAAAUCCCAUAAAGUUGUUCUCAGUUCGGAUUGUAGUCUGCAACUCGACUACAUGAAGCUGGAAUCGCUAGUAAUCGUAGAUCAGCAUGCUACGGUGAAUACGUUCCCGGGUCU